rnacentral:rRNA from 1 species
CGCGUAGGUAAUCUAUCCUUACAUUUGGGAUAACAUCGGGAAACUGGUGCUAAUACCGAAUGGUCUUCAUUGCUUUGGGGCGAUGGAGUAAAGGUGGCCUCUUCAUGAAAGCUACCGUGUAGGGAUGAGCCUGCGUACCAUUAGCUAGUAGGUGGGGUAAUGGCCCGCCUAGGCUACGAUGGUUAGCGGGUCUGAGAGGAUGAUCCGCCACACUGGAACAGAAACACGGACCAG